GAUGAACGCUAGCUACAGGCUUAACACAUGCAAGUCGAGGGGUAACGAGAGGAAAGCUUGCCUUCCUUGUCGACGACCGGCGCACGGGUGAGUAACGCGUAUCCAACCUGCCCCCAACUAGGGAAUAACCUUGCGAAAGUAAGACUAAUACCCUAUAAUUUCCUCAGAUGUCAUCUGACGAGGAAUAAAGAUUUAUCGGUUGUGGAUGGGGAUGCGUCUGAUUAGCUUGUUGGCGGGGUAACGGCCCACCAAGGCAACGAUCAGUAGGGGUUCUGAGAGGAAGGACCCCCACAUUGGAACUGAGACACGGUCCAAACUCCUACGGGAGGCAGCAGUGAGGAAUAUUGGUCAAUGGGCGGAAGCCUGAACCAGCCAAGUAGCGUGCAGGAUGACGGCCCUAUGGGUUGUAAACUGCUUUUAUACAGGAAUAAAGUUAGCCACGUGUGGUUAUUUGUAGGUACUGUAUGAAUAAGGACCGGCUAAUUCCGUGCCAGCAGCCGCCGUAA
rnacentral:rRNA from 1 species